rnacentral:lncRNA from 1 species
AUGAAACGUCAUCCGCAGAGCUGGCUGUCUUCGCGUCCCUUGCCUCCCAUACCCCCUAGGCCAGGGCUGGGCCGCGCAGGUGAAGCCCCAAAGCAGAGAGCCUGGAACUGGCAGUUGGAGCCUGAACUGUGGGCAAAAUCGCUUCGACAGCAGCUGAAUGUCCAGCUCCUCUCUGCCCUGGAGGAGAAGAGGGCAGGUUUGUCUCUCGAGGCAGUAUCAUCGGAUUCCCUUGAGUCUUGGCACUCUGUAUGUAGCCUGGACAGCUCAAGACCUGGGCCUUGGCCCUUCCAGACGAAACAGAGGAAAGUCCUCACAGCAGCACCUGACUUAGAGCGGCCGAGGGCGCUGCAGCUACUGCUAGCUGAGCUCCAAACUCUGUUCUCCGCUGUGCUGCAGGACCGCAGCCCGGCCGCUUGGCGCUACCUGCAUGCGGUGCUGGGUCUCCUGCCUCCGUAUCGUGAGUUGCUAGUCGGGCACCUUGAUUUGCUGCCCUUCCUGGAGCAGCUGUAUUGCUGGGCUCCCUGGGUCCAAACCCAUCUCCAGCUGGACCUGCUAGAUGCCAUCGACCACGCCUUGCCCCCAGACAGCUCUUUGUCGCACAGUGCCUCCCAUGCUGACUGCCAUCCCCAGAAGAAGAGGUUCCAUCGAGGGCCACCGUGCCCACCCUGCCCUUUUGUGCAGACCCGGUGGGGUGGGCAGCAAGUAAAGCAGGAACUGGCCACGUGGCUGCGACCGCUGACACUGCCUGAGCUGCAGCACUGCCUGGGCAUUGUCGGUGCGGAGGUGGCCCUAGAAGAGGCCCAGUGGUUGGGCAGUCUCAGUCUCCUGCCCUUGGCACUGGCUACAGACAUCCCUGUGCAGUAUAAAAGCAGCGACGCUAACAGCGUAGACGAGGAGCCUGUUGGAAGCAAAGACGCUAAGUAAGUGAGUGACCCAGGCUGGGGCUUUGCACGGAGGAGACAAAAGAAGUCAGGUUAGGGAGGCUCUGGGCCCCUGGCCCUCUAAAGCCAGCUCACUAUUGAUCUUAAGGAUUAGCCUGACCCCCAAGCUGAGCUGGUAUGAGGCUGCUCAAUAGAGCUAGUGU